rnacentral:lncRNA from 1 species
GGAAUUUUAACUUUUUCUGCCUUCUGAUCCUUGUUUUUUUGUUUGAAACCAAAUUCACUUCGUCCUGCACGACACGUUUUCUCUUGCUCUUCUUUUUCUCAGAUUUUCCAACAAUAUCCUUUCGAGAUUCUAACACUUUAACAUUGUUGGAACGAUUUUGACUUCACAUAUUUUGUUCAUCAAUCGAUUUCUCAACUAAAAUCGGGGUUGAAUGAGUACUUUAACACUAUCAGAACGAUUUUGACUUUGCAUAUUUUCUUCAUCUUUCUCAACUAAAACCAGAGUUAAAUGAGGAGAUAAACUCAUCGACCUAGUUUCUCUUCUAAUGUUGCUCGAUUUCUCUAUUGAAAUAGACUUUGAAUAAGGUGAUAAACUCAUCGAACGGUUUGUCUUCUCAUAUUGCUCUGUUUCAAAAUUGAAAUUAGGUUCAAUGACAAAAAAAAUUUAAAAAAAUAUAUGAACUUGGUUACGGAAAUUUGUGAAGAAAUUAAUACAAAAACUCGACCAAAACUUACAAAAUCAGUUGCAAAAGCCUAAAGAAAAGCAACAUCGAUUCUACAAAAACACAUGCAAUCAAAAAAAAAAAAUACAAAAUAAGAGGUUUUCUACUUCAAAAUAACCGGAAUCAGACGAAAAUAACCGAAAAUCUAUCUUGUUUUGUCGUCAAUUUCAUCAAUUUUGGUUGAAUUUAGGAAAAAAUCAUAGAAAGAGCGAGAGAGAGAGAGAGAGUGAGAGAUAUCAAGUAAGAGAGAGAACUCGGUUUUGC